ACCUGGCUGGCCCAAAUGGUAGAACAUGAGGCUCUUAAUCUCAGGGUUGUGAGUUCAAGCCCCAUGUUGGGUA
rnacentral:tRNA from 1 species